rnacentral:rRNA from 1 species
UGGGGAAUAUUGCACAAUGGGCGCAAGCCUGAUGCAGCGACGCCGCGUGGGGAUGACGGCCUCGGGUUGUAAACCCUUCGCGGGAAGCAAGCCGCUUCGGUGGUGAGGGUACCCGCGGAAGAAGCGCCGGCUAACUACGUGCCAGCAGCCGCGGUAAUACGUAGGGCGCGAGCGUUAUCCGGAAUUAUUGGGCGUAAAGAGCUCGUAGGCGGUUUGUCGCGUCUGCUGUGAAAGCCCGGGGCUCAACCCCGGGUCUGCAGUGGGUACGGGCAGGCUGGAGUGCAGUAGGGGAGACUGGAAUUCCUGGUGUAGCGGUGAAAUGCGCAGAUAUCAGGAGGAACACCGAUGGCGAAGGCAGGUCUCUGGGCUGUAACUGACGCUGAGGAGCGAAAGCGUGGGGAGCGAACA